UACGUAGGGACCAAGCGUUGUUCGGAUUUACUGGGCGUAAGGGGCGCGUAGGCGGCGUGACAAGUCACUUGUGAAAUCUCCGGGCUUAACUCGGAACGGUCAAGUGAUACUGUUGUGCUAGAGUACAGAAGGGGCAAUCGGAAUUCUUGGUGUAGCGGUGAAAUGCGUAGAUAUCAAGAGGAACACCAGAGGCGAAGGCGGAUUGCUGGGCUGAUACUGACGCUGAGGCGCGAAAGCUAGGGUAGCAAACGGG
rnacentral:rRNA from 1 species